rnacentral:misc_RNA from 1 species
GGAUGAAAAAUGCCAAGCUCUUGUAAGUGCUUAUCCUUUCCUAGGACUGCUUUCAAUUUCUUUUUUCUAUGGAUGCUAAGACACUAGACCAUCAAAACACCCUCCGCACCCCUUCUUUUUCUCCUAGUCCCUUUUUUUGGUGGGUUUCUGAUUGUAGAUGCUGGAGACUCUUUGAAAACUGUAAGCUAUGUUCCUUGACUCCAGCACAGUAUGGAGGUCCAACAACUAGAUAUUAGGCUAAAAAUGAAUAUUCAGAGUGACAAAUUCUCUAAAUAUGGGUCCUUUAGCAGCAGUUAAAAAAAAAAGUAGAAAAAGGAAAAACGAAACAAUCAGAAGUGCUAGAGGUAGACCCAUAGAGAAGGGAAGGAAAAGGUAAAGAGACCUUUUAUGGGGAAAUUUCAUUUCAAUCACCCAUUUAGGCCUUAAUUGAACUGUCAAAGUUGGCCUCUUUUCCUGAGCAAAUGUACUCUGAAAAACAAUGGAGAGGAAAACAUUCUUAAUAAAUGAGUAAGCAAGAAAAAUGAGGGUACACAUGAAUUAUGUUCUCCUUUUAUAUCCAACUUGUCUACCUGUGACAGAUUCAGAUUACGUGAAAUAUAGAAGGCAUUUGAUAUAGAUCUCUCAAUGUUUCUUAACUCUUAAUUGUUGGAGCAUCAAAAGUCAAACUUCAGAUUUUUUGUUAUUAUUGUCAACUUCUAAAAAAGUAUUGGUAUAUGCAAUCGUUUCACACGCUCCGCUGGACUUAAUUGCACCUUUCUGGUUGAUUCAUAAAGAUGGACACCAAAAUAGAUGUUGCUUGCAAAACGAUUGGAAAAGAUGGUUUCUCAUGUGUCAGGAGUUAGCCUUAUUCCAUCCCAUAUACCCACCACCACUUCAGGUAUUUGAAUUUCAUGCCUCCAAAUUGGAAUUUCCUAGAUUUAACCCCUAGACUGUUCCAAUGGACAAUGACAUUCAUUGCUGCCACCCCUAGCUUCUAGUGGUUCAACCUGUUCUCUGUCUUUCUGCUCUUGCACAGAGUAUGUUUGGAAAUCUAAUAUAAAAUCUAAUAUGCCAUCUGGUCGAUUCUCAUAUUUGGGAAAAUAAUAUAAGUUCUAGAAUCAAUUCUUAAAAAAUAAGUCAUUUUGGAAGAUAUAGAAAUAAUGCCAAAUGUAGCAUAAUUUUGCAAAAAUUCAAUUCAUUUAUUUGGAUAUAUUAUUAAAAUCCCAACUCACCCUUAUUUAAAUCAAGUGUAUAUCUUUAUGAGUAAGGAUAAAAUAAGAAACUGAUGACAUUCAAUUUACUUUUCAAUUAUUUUCAAACGAUAGAAUUCAAGUUAAUUUAAUCACUUUAAAAUUUAUUUUAAACACAUGAAUUCUACCAUAAAAUCAUUUGAAUUGAAUUUUACCUUUAGAAGUGAAUUGAAUUGAAUUCUAGUAGAAUAAUUAUUCCAAAUGGAGUGUUAGCUAAUUCAGGUGUUACAACAGAGAAUCCAAAGCCUUCUGAUGCAGUAUUGGAAUCAACUUAGGAUACAUAGGAAUUAUAUUCAUUGUAAAAUUAGGAAGUUUAUAUUUUGAGGUUAAGAAUUUAUUAUUUAAGAAUUAUAUUAGGUUUAGAAUUUUAUAGUGGGGAUUGGUUUUAUAUAUCUUGUUUGUAUUGUUUUGCAUUCCUAAUUUUAUUUGUUUUAGUAUUCCUAAUUAGUUUCAAUUAGGACUAGUGAUAUACUAUAAAUAGCCAUGUCUGGUUAUUUUAUUAUUAGAGCUUAUUAUUAUGAUUCUUAUUGAGAAUUAAUAAAAUUUUUUAGAAUUAGUAUAUCUGGAGAAUUUGUUUCUAUUUGUCCUUGAGAAUUUUCUUCUCUUGAUCCUUUGGUUUCUU